UGUCGUGAGAACAAAUGUAAUGUUUUUAAAACAAAUUCAACACAGAUUCAAAAGCUAAAUGAUAUAUAUUGAUACAAGUAUUUAUCAGUACAAUAACUUUAGUAUAUCUGAUGAAUAUUAAGAUGAAAAAUAAUCAAUCAUAAUAUUUUACAUUUGGAAAAUGAUUAGGACACUAAAUAUGAAAAUAAUCCAAUAACAGUACCAAAUAUAUAAUAGAAAAUUGAGUAAAUCAAGAGGAAACGUGAAACAAAAAUUAAAAUAAUAAAAAGAAUAACCAAAAAACAAAACAGAACAGUAACACAACUGGAAGCAAUAAUAGAAAAAAUAAACAAAUUAAAAAAUAAUGAAA